UAUGAACGCUGGCGGCGUGCCUAAUACAUGCAAGUCGAGCGAACAGAUGAGGAGCUUGCUCCUCUGACGUUAGCGGCGGACGGGUGAGUAACACGUGGAUAACCUACCUAUAAGACUGGGAUAACUUCGGGAAACCGGAGCUAAUACCGGAUAAUAUAUUGAACCGCAUGGUUCAAUAGUGAAAGACGGUUUUGCUGUCACUUAUAGAUGGAUCCGCGCCGCAUUAGCUAGUUGGUAAGGUAACGGCUUACCAAGGCAACGAUGCGUAGCCGACCUGAGAGGGUGAUCGGCCACACUGGAACUGAGACACGGUCCAGACUCCUACGGGAGGCAGCAGUAGGGAAUCUUCCGCAAUGGGCGAAAGCCUUACGGAGCAACGCCGCGUGAGUGAUAAAGGUCUUCGGAUCGUAAAACUCUGUUAUUAGGGAAGAACAAAUGUGUAAGUAACUAUGCACGUCUUGACGGUACCUAAUCAGAAAGCCACGGCUAACUACGUG
rnacentral:rRNA from 1 species